rnacentral:lncRNA from 1 species
AUGGAUUUCUGGACUAGCCAAUUAAUAAAAAUUAAGAAAUACUGCUUCUCAAGAAUGUCAAGCAGUACACCUGUUUGCCUCAGUAUCCUUAUCUAUCAAAUAAGGAAAUGGACUUCCGGUCAAGAUGGCGGUGUAGAAGCAGCGAAAGUUCAGACCUCGGAAACCCUUCCUUACCGAUCACAAACAGAGUGCUCCUAGGCCACCGAAAUUCAAGCUGAACAACAGGAUAGACCUGGGGAAACCUCCUCCUGGACCUGGAUCAAAAGGUACCACACCCCAAAAGCCAGAACCCUACAUCACUCGGAUCUAAGGGGCAGACAGAAAGAAGGUCCUAGGAACCAUCCCCCCCAACCCAGAGUACUGAGCCCAAGGCAGCAGCGGGAACCUCAGGGCUCUGAGGACUCACCUUGAAAGCAACCCGAGCCAGUCUCCAGGGUGCCCAACACAGACAGCAGGGAAACAUAGAGAGAAGGGGGAAGCCUGUAGCCCCCUGGCUGGGUUCUUCCAUCUGAGUCUCAAGGGAGGUCCCAGCUUUAGGGCACCAGCUGAACCCAAUCCCAUCAGGAGCCCUCAGAGCUACUGAAAGGACAGAAAACUCAGGGCUAGUGAAGGGCUUACCUUGAAAACAACCCGGGCCAGUCUCCAGGCAUUCAACACAGAUUGUGGAGGAGGAGGCCUAUUGCAUCAGGGCUCAUUUGGCCCAAACCAGGUGAACCUAAUCCCAUCAGGAGCCCUCAGAGCCCAGGCAAGCCACUACCCCCCCCCCCCCUUAGAGAGCAGGGUCUUCUGAAAAAAACAGAAACCAAGAGGCAAAGUCAAGAUGGCAGCCUAGAAGGAGCAUAGACCUGGCAGCCUGGCCAGAGCUUCGGAGAUCCUCCAUAUCUGCUCCAGCCGUCCAGGAAGUUUAAAACUCAGAGUAAACCGAGCCCAACUAAGCUGAACUCAAUCCCAUCAAAAUUCUCCAGAACACAGGGAAGCCCAGGCUCCCCACCCAUCCUCAUUGACUGCUGGACUUUAAGUCAAUCAAAAGCCUUCAGAGGACAGGAAAGCUCAAACCCCCAACAACCAUCUCCCAGAGAUUACACCAAGAGAUCCUCUGUUAAAGCCCCAAGAAGGGGAGACUGACAGAA